AUCAAGCAUGAGAGGUUCUCCAAACAUUUCCAAUUGGGCUGGAGCCUUCUACCUGCGGAGGUUUUCUGGGCUUGUUGCUUGGUUCCAGGGCUUUUAUAAAGAUACUUCCAAAAUUAGUUCAAAUUGAUUUUGAAUCAAAAUGGAAAGUAAUUCGAUCUAAGCUGGAAGUUUUGGAGCAAAUGUUCUUAAAAGAGACUCAAAAGGCUGAAGAACCAGUGCAAUGGCUCAAUGGCCAAUUGUGCUUAAUGGCUUUUUCCAGCAUCCAAAAUGCAGCCCUAAAUUUGUCUAUACAUGUCAGUCUAUUCUUAUCCAGAUUAGGUCAAAUUGUUUCCAUUUCAAAGUCCCUUAAGUAUUCUUUAGGACAGGUGUGAAAACUCUUUGUGCAUUUCUUGAAAAGCUACACCCAAUUUUGGUUGCUAGAAGGGCAAUUUGACAAUUCUUCGAUGAAGUUGGGCACUCUUCUGAAAGUUCUUUCUAUCCAUUUUAAGUCCCCUUAGAACUUCACAUCAGAAAUUGAAAUUCAUUCUUAGCUUUUAUAAUUGGGAUUUCACAUAUGAUUGUUGACCAUGUCUGAAUCAGUACAGGGUGUUCAUGAGGGAUGUUUGGUGGCAGAUGUGAAUCAAUAUUUCAUCAGCUUAUAUGGAAAAUAGCAGUUGCUGAGUGAUGGCUUAUUUUGUGAUUUGCUUGCUGUUCUUCGCAGUUGCCUACCUAUCCUGCAGCCAUGUUUCUUGGUGAUAGUGAUGGAGAAAGCAUGAGCCUUGUAUUAUACUUUUGACAGUGAACUUGAGCCAAGGAUUUGUUCCACUAGUUUGUUAUUGAUAUCUUGUUUUCUUUCCAACUUGCAGUAUUAUUCCUGCUAUUUGCUCCACUAGUUUGUUAUUGAUGUCUUGUUUUCUUUCCAACUUGUGUAACAUCUUAGUUAACUGCCAACUUUGGUUUCUGGUGCAGAGAUUGGUUGAUGAUGAGAUGGAGAAGGUCAGAGGGUUUGCAAAGGAAUCUGCGGUCCCUUUCAGGGAAAGGCUAAAAAUCAUGGCUGGGGUGGUUAAUCCAGAUGACCUCAACUUGAGUCCUGCUGAAAGGAAGCGACAAAAAUCAAUUCAGCUAAUUUCAUCAAAAUCAGUAUCACAAGAUGCCAUGGUUUCCUGAUGAACUGCACAAAGACCAGAGGAACUGCCCGAGCAAGCACUUUGCUGUGUCCGAUUGAACAAGAUUGAUUUUGUAAACCAUGGUCAAAUACCUACACUAGUGACUGAUGAUUGAUUUCGAUAGGAAACCACAAGAUAGUGUGUUUAAAGUGAACCAUCCUAGCAAAAUAAUCAUCAAUCAAGGUGUCAAUUGUAAAAUUUGAUUCACCCUGACCUAUUUUUACUUGACCAAAAUGGGGGAAAAACAGAAGAAAAAUAAUAGAAUUUUUUUUCUUUUCUUUCCCAUUGAAAGAAACUUGUGUU